CAGUCGGACUGACUGAAGGAGAUCUGACCAUGCAGGUUCUGGAGCUUUCUGAGGGACCUUUUUGGGCUAAUGAAGCAGAUGAUGAACUUUCAGAGGAACACAGUGACGGCGUGCCCUCGAAGACCGUCUCAGCCUAACGCACCGGAUGUAGGACAGACAUGCUGUCUGGCCACACAACCAGGUAUGAAUAUAGUUCCAUUGUUUCCAAGGCAUCAAAUUCUUGAAUGGUCACUGCUUACAGGAAAUAAGUGAUUGGACAUGCAAAACUAUGCCAAUUUUUACCUCAAUUCAUAGAGAAAUUAACCUCAAUAUAAGGACAAGUACUGGCCCACGGACCUGACGGACCUCAGCCAAACUGCCAUGCUUUAGCUCAGCCAGCCACACAGCAGAAAGAGGAGGCGCACCAGCCCAUGUGCUUAAAGCACUACUGGUCCCAGGAGAUAGCAGAGCUUCCUCGACCCAUCCAGCAUCCAGGUGAGUCUUUAGAAAUGAAACAAUUCAUUCUAACACAAUGUCUGGUUUUCAGUGAGUCGGAGAAGAUAGUGUCUGAAAAGAAGCCCGCAGGAACGGUGUCUCCGACAGGAAGUCCCACUCCAGCAGCUCCGCCCUCAUCAGUGCAACACAACACAAUGGCUAGACACCUGGGUGUGGACAGACACUUCCAUGCUCCGUAGAGCCAUCUGGAACUAUAUUCAGUGCAAGUUUGGGAUUCGGUAAGUCUCUUCACUGCUCACAGUUUCAGAAAUAUGUAGCAACAUUGAAUAUGUUUAUUCAUUCUACAAGGAACCAUUUAAAAUGCUGAAGAUGUCUCUGAGACUCCCCCGGGGCCUUCAAAUAUGGGAUUCGGUAAGUCUCUUCACUGCUCACAGUUUCAGAAAUAUGUAGCAACAUUGAAUACAUUUAUUCAUUCUACAAGGAACCUUUUAAAAUGAUAAAGAUGUCUCCGAGACUCCCCCGGGGCCUUCAAAUAAGCACCAGCGGGAGAUCAUUUGUUUAUGCAUCUCAACAGGUCCAAGGCCAGCGGUUUAACAUACGCUUCUGGCAUGUGUGUGCUGAGAUGCUGGACCAGAGGAGGACAGACAUGCUGUCUCUCCACUACUCACAGUUUGCAUUUAUGCUGUCAAUGUACCAGACCAGGCAAUCUGAACAAGUUUUUCUGAAAACAGUGUAUCCGGAGUGUAAAAGGGAUCAACAAGUAUAUGGACAAAUCCACAACAAUGUUAGCCAUGCCCAGCAAAUCUGCAUUCAUGCUCUCAACAUACCAGACUGGCCCUGUGGCGAUUGUAACUGAGAACAGAAUGUUCCUGCUACACGGAUUAGUCGACUUGACAAUUUCAGGGAAUGAAAUCCACAACAAUGUUAGCCAUGCCCAGCAAAUCUGCAUUCAUGCUCUCAACACACCAGACUGGCCCUGUGGCGAUUGUAACUGAGAACAGAAUGUUCCUGCUACACGGAUUAGUCGACUUGACAAUUUCAGGGAAUGCCAUUUUAACCACAAAAUAAUAUUAAUCGUCUUUACUCCACUCCUCUCUGUAUUUCCUCAGCUCUUUUACUUCCUUCUGUAACUGAGUUUUCUCCUGCUCCAAGCAUUGCAUUCUGUGUUGUGCUUGUCCAGCUCCCUUAGAAGAAAGUCUACUUGAAGAGCCAUUUCAUCAUCUACAUUUUCAAAAUCAUUUGUUGUUGAUUUGUGUGUGUGAUUAUUUCUGCAGUGUUACUCAUCUUGCAUUUCACAUCAGUAACGCUCUGUUCCCUUCCUUUAGCAUCAUUCUCAAUCAAGCCACAGCCCAGAUAGGAGCGUCUCCGUGGAGAGACAGGUGAUGUGUGUGUGUGUGUGUGUGUUUUAUAUAUAUAGAUAUGAUCUGAAG
ensembl:lncRNA